rnacentral:tRNA from 1 species
GCCUUGGUGGCUCAGCCUGGUAGAGCGUCCGACUGUUAAUCGGCAGGUCGCAGGUCCAAAUCCUGCCCAAGGCGCCA